AUUCUGCCCAAGCGGGGAAGAAUGAGAAGCUUCGACCAAGGUUCGACUUGAGCGCCAGCGAGAGAGCGUUGCCGCAGGCAACGACCCGAAGG
rnacentral:sRNA from 1 species